rnacentral:rRNA from 1 species
GACAGAGGUCUCAAGCGUUAGGCGGAAUCACUGGGCUUAAAGCGUGUGUAGGCGGAUCGUUAAGUGCCUUGUGAAAUCCCACAGCUCAACUGUGGAACUGCUUGGCAUACUGGCGGUCUUGAGCCAUCUAGGGGUCGCUGGAACAAACGGUGGAGCGGUGAAAUGCGUAGAUAUCGUUUGGAACGCCAAUGGUGAAAACAGGCGACUGGGGAUGUGCUGACACUGAGACACGAAAGCUAGGGGAGCAAACGGG